CCUACGGGAGGCAGCAGUAGGGAAUGUUCGGCAAUGGGGGGAACCCUGACCGAGCAACGCCGCGUGAACGAAGAAGUUAUUCGUAAUGUAAAGUUCUUUUAACAGGGAAGAAAGAGAAAUUUGACGGUACCUGAAGAAUAAGCUCCGGCUAACUACGUGCCAGCAGCCGCGGUAAUACGUAGGGAGCGAGCGUUAUCCGGAAUUAUUGGGCGAAAAGGGUGCGUAGAUGGCAUAGUAAGUCUUUUGUAAAAAUGCUGGGCUCAACCCAGUAGGGCAAAAGAUACUGCAAAGCUAGAGUAUGACAGAGGCAAGUGGAACUACAUGUGUAGCGGUCAAAUGCGUAAAUAUAUGUAAGAACACCAGUGGCGAAGGCGGCUUGCUGGGUCGAUACUGACAUUGAGGCACGAAAGCGUGGGGAGCAAACAGGAUUAGAUACCCUAGUAGUC
rnacentral:rRNA from 1 species